UACGUAGGGUGCAAGCGUUAAUCGGAAUUACUGGGCGUAAAGCGUGCGCAGGCGGUUUUGUAAGUCUGUUGUGAAAUCCCCGGGCUCAACCUGGGAAUGGCAAUGGAGACUGCAAGGCUAGAGUUUGGCAGAGGGGGGUAGAAUUCCACGUGUAGCAGUGAAAUGCGUAGAGAUGUGGAGGAACACCGAUGGCGAAGGCAGCCCCCCUGGGCCAACACUGACGCUCAGGCACGAAAGCGUGGGGAGCAAACAGG
rnacentral:rRNA from 1 species